UAUACGACUCUCGGCAACGGAUAUCUCGGCUCUCAUAUCGAUGAAGAACGUAGUGAAAUAUGAUACUUGGUGUGAAUUACAGAAUCUCAUGAACCAUUGAGUCUUUAAAUGCAAGUUGCGCAUGAGGCCUUUCGGUUGAGGGCAUACCUGCCUGGGCAUCACGC
rnacentral:rRNA from 1 species